rnacentral:rRNA from 1 species
AUGGCUGGUGGUAAAGGAGUGCAGCAACGCACCACCUCGGGUGGUUCCCAGUCGCCGGCUCCGGAGGAGCGGCGAGGGGGCAGCCGCUCCAGGCGCGGCCAUCGCGGUGAGGUCGUGGUUAGGGAGAUCGUGCGCGAGACCGCAAUCAGCGGUAGCGUGCCCAUCACCUUCCCGAUGCUCAUGCGCUCGAACUACAGCGAGUGGGCGUUGAUCAUGGAGUGCAACCUUCAUGCGGCGAGCCUCUGGGCUCCCAUGGAGGACAACCUGGUCGAGAGAAAGGAGGACAGGAAAGCCGUGGCGGCACUCAUGCGCGCCACGCCGCCGGAGAUGCACGGCAUGCUCGCGGCGAAGGCAAGUGCCAAGGAGGCGUGGGAAGCCAUCCGUACCCAGCGCCUCGGCAGCAACCGCGUGCGUGAGGCGAACGCGCAGAAGCUGCGGGCGAACUUCGAGAACAUCGCCUUCAAGGAGGGCGAGCUCGUCGACAACUUCGCCAUGCGGAUCUCCAGCCUUGCGUCACAGCUCUGCGCGCUCGGCGACACCAUGGACGACGCGAGAGUCGUGCGGAAAUUUCUCCGCGUCGUUCCACCUCGUUUCGCUCAGGUAGCGGUCUCCAUCGAGACUUUGCUUGACCUGAGCGAGCUCUCCAUCGAGGAGCUCACGGGCCGGUUGCGGGUGGUCGAGGACCGCCUUGAUGACGGCCGCGAGAGCUUCGGCGGCGGACAACUCCUAUUCUCGAAGAAGUGGGAGGCAAGGAAGUGUUAA